rnacentral:lncRNA from 1 species
UUGCAAGACCUUCGGGAAUCCUAUAUAAAUAUCGAACUACCCCACACCCAUUUCUUGACACCUCAGUCCGAUAAGACUUUUCGACACCCUCACAAACCCACAACCUUUUACCAUCCUCUGUUUAACCCGCAACAUCUUUUCGCUCAAACCGCAUACUCGUCGGAGAAGUCGGGUCGUCGCCGGAGAGUUACGGGCCUCGCCGGACCUGCAAGUGGUCGGAGACGUACCGACGCCGGAGUUUACGGAGACCACGACGGAGUCUCGUUCCCGUAUCAGUUCGGGAAAUCCCGUUCGUUCUCUUGGACUAUUCUCAUCUUUACUCGUGCGUACUUACAAGAAAUCGCAACGCAAUCGAUUUGAACGUGUUAAUCUCAAUGCUCUUGAGUCUUGGGGUAUUGCGAUGUUGAACGAUAUGUGAACCAUAUGUGAACGAUGUUGAACGAUAUGUGAACGAUAUGUGAACGAUGUUGAACGAUGUUGAACGAUGUUGAACGAUGUUGAACAAUGUUGAACGAUGUUGAACGAGGUUGAACGAUAUUGAAUGACAAAGUAGUAACAUGUAUCAUUUUAUUCAUGUUGGAUAUGAGUACAUUUUAAACAUUUUAUUCUACUAUGCUAUGUAUCAAACUUGUAUACUCGCCAACGUUUUGUUGAUUGUACUUUAAUACAUGUUGCAUGUUGAUAGAUGAAGAAUUCAAGAAUUAAGUUAGGGUGGACUAGAAACUCACCUAGAAAAUAAACUAUGGUUGAAAGAUGAUUUAUGAUUUAAUCAUGUUGAGACAAUGUAUUUGUUAUGUUGUUUUGAGCAAUUUGUUCGUCUCAUCCUGAUGU